rnacentral:lncRNA from 1 species
CCGGUGGGCUGAUAAGGGUCGGGUUGGGCUUGCUAUUUUGAGGCCUGAUCAUAUUUCAGGUGGGGAAAGCCCAGUAGGGCUGGGCCGAGCUGGCCCAUUUGACUGCUCUAAUAGCGUCCCUAUCGCGUACAGGACCCUGUAGUCUUGAUAAGCGUUAUUUACUACCUCAACGUGGCAAAAUCGAACCAAAUUCCCCCCCGGUGUUAAAACGCCGUUACAUUUUUUUUUUUUUAAGAUGGUCCCAUAUUUCUC